UAUUUUGAUUUAAUUAAAAAUUUAAUUUUUUUUUUGUGUAUAUUCUUUUUAAUUUAAGGAAUUUUAUUAUUGUGUUGUUUAAGUAAAAUUUAUUGAAUAAAUUAUAUAAUUUAUAGUUAAUUAGUAUUGUGAAAGAAUAUUGAAAUAUAUUGAAAAUGUUAUUUUUGUAAAGUAAAUUGUGGUUGUACCUUGUGUAUCAGGGUUAAUUAAUUAAUUGUUAUUUAUUUAAUAAUCCCGAUUUGAAGAGAGUUAAUGUAAUAUUUUAGUUAAUGUUUUAUAAUUAUUAAUAAUAUUAUGUUGGUAAUGAAAUGUUAUUCGAUCUUUAAUAUAUCUGGUUUUCUAAGAAUUGAAUUUAAUUCAGUUAUUAAUUUUAAAUUAUUGAUUUAAUUAAUAAUUUGUAUAGUUAAUAGUAAAAAUUUGGGGGAUAAGCUCUGAAUUUUAUUUUAAAAAUAUUUAAUUUAUAUAAAAAAAAAGUAGGCUUUAAAUUAGCUUUCUUUUGAAUAUGUUAUAAUUCAUUUAUGUUAAAUGUAAUUGAUGAUUUUAUAAAAAUUUUAAGUGUUGUAUUAGAAUAGUUUUAAUAAUAAUUUAUAAUUUGUAAUAAUGAUUAAAUUAGUAUAAUAAAUAAUGUUUAAUUAAAUUUUAUUUAAUUAAUUUAUAAUAAGGAAUUAGGCAAAAAUAAUACUCGCCUGUUUAACAAAAACAUGUCUUUAUGUUUAAUUGAAUUUAUAAAGUCUGGCCUGCCCACUGAAAUUAUUUGAAGGGCCGCGGUAUUUUGACCGUGCAAAGGUAGCAUAAUCAUUAGUCUUUUAAUUGAAGGCUGGUAUGAAUGGUUUAACGAGGUAUUAACUGUCUCAUUAUAAAAUUUUGAAUUUAACUUUUUAGUCAAAAGGCUAAAAUAAAUUUAGAGGACGAGAAGACCCUAUAGAGCUUUAUAUUUAAGUUAAAUAAUUAAUUUUAGUAAUUUAAUUUAAUUUUUUAAUUAAAUUAUUUAGUUGGGGUGACUUGAAGAUUAAAUAAACUCUUUAUUUAAUAAACAUUAAUUUAUGGUAAAUUGAUCCAUUAUUGGUGAUUAGAAGAUUAAGUUACCUUAGGGAUAACAGCGUAAUUUUUUUUAAGAGUUCUUAUCAACAAGAAAGAUUGCGACCUCGAUGUUGGACUAAGGAAUAUUAUUGGGUGUAGAAGUUUAAUAAAUGGGUCUGUUCGACCCUUAAAUCCUUACAUGAUCUGAGUUCAGACCGGCGUAAGCCAGGUCGGUUUCUAUCCUUAAUUAAUUGAAGUAUUUUAGUACGAAAGGACCAAAUAUUUAAAAAAUUUUUAUAUAAUAUGAUUAUUAUUAAAUUAAGUUU
rnacentral:rRNA from 1 species